rnacentral:rRNA from 1 species
GGUGAACGCUGGCGGCGUGCCUAACACAUGCAAGUCGAGCGGGGCAGGUUUAUCCCUGUUCAGCGGCGGACGGGUGGGUAAGGAGUGGGUGACCUACCCGGAAAAGGCGGACAACCUGGGGAAACCAAGACUAAUCAGCCAUGUGGACCUGUCCUGUGGGCCAGGACUAAAGGGUGGAUAGCCCGCUUCCGGGUGGGCCCGCGUCGCAUCAGCUAGUUGGUGGGGUAAAGGCGCAUAAAGGCGACGACGGGUAGCCGGUCUGAGAGGGUGGCCGGCGACAGGCGCACUUGGACACGGGCCCCAGCCCUACGGGAGGCAGCAGGUAGGAAUGUGCCGCAAUGGACGGAAGUCAGACGGAGCGAGGAGGAGGGGAGGGGGAAGCACGUCGGGGUGGAAACUCCAGAACGGGGGACGAAAGCCCUGUGUAGGGUGAGGACGGUACCCAAGUAAAAGCGCCGGCCAACUCCGUG